rnacentral:rRNA from 1 species
GACGAACGCUGGCGGCGUGCUUAACACAUGCAAGUCGAACGGAAAGGCCCUGCUUGCCAGGUACUCGAGUGGCGAACGGGUGAGUAACACGUGGGUGAUCUGCCCUGCACUUCGGGAUAAGCCUGGGAAACUGGGUCUAAUACCGGAUAGGAGCCAUUUUUAGUGUGAUGGUUGGAAAGUUUUUUCGGUGUAGGAUGAGCUCGCGGCCUAUCAGCUUGUUGGUGGGGUAAUGGCCUACCAAGGCGGCGACGGGUAGCCGGCCUGAGAGGGUGGACGGCCACAGUGGGACUGAGAUACGGCCCAGACUCCUACGGGAGGCAGCAGUGGGGAAUAUUGCACAAUGGGCGCAAGCCUGAUGCAGCGACGCCGCGGGGGGGAUGACGGCCUUCGGGUUGUAAACUCCGUUCGCUAGGGACGAAGCUUUUUGUGACGGUACCUAGAGAAGAAGCACCGGCUAACUACGUG